UACGAGGGGUGCAAGCGUUGCUCGGAAUUAUUGGGCGUAAAGGGUAGGUAGGUGGUCUCAUUUGUCUGAGGUGAAAGCCUUGAGCUUAACUCAAGAAGUGCCUUAGAAACGGUGAGACUGGAGUCCUGGAGAGGGUCGUGGAAUUCCCGGUGUAGCGGUGAAAUGCGUAGAGAUCGGGAGGAACACCAGCGGCGAAGGCGGCUUGCCAAUACGCGCUCGACGGUGAGGGAUGAAAGCUGGGGGAGCAAACCGG
rnacentral:rRNA from 1 species